rnacentral:tRNA from 1 species
CAAGGAAUAGUUUUAAUGAAAACAACAGCUUUGGGAGUUGUAGACGUAAGUGAAACCCUUACUUCUUUGA